rnacentral:tRNA from 1 species
GGCGCUUUGGCGGAGUGGUUAACGCGAUGCCCUGCUAUAGUUUCAUAGCUUAGUCAGGCAUUUCCUUCGGGAGCGCAGGUUCGAAUCCUGCAGGCGUCG